rnacentral:rRNA from 1 species
CCCUUAGAUGUUCUGGGCUGCACGCGCGCUACACUGAUGCACUCAACGAGUUUACGACCUUGCCCGAUAGGGUUGGGUAGUCUUUUUAAAAUGCAUCGUGAUGGGGAUAGAUUAUUGCAAUUAUUAAUCUUCAACGAGGAAUUCCUAGUAAGCGCGAGUCAUCAGCUCGUGCUGAUUACGUCCCUGCCCUUUGUACACACCGCCCGUCGCUCCUACCGAUUGAGUGCUCAGGUGAAUAAUUCGGACUGCAGCAAUGUUUGGAUCCCGAACGUUGCAGCGGAAAGUUUAGUGAACCUUAUCACUUAGAGGAAGGAGAAGUCGUAACA